CCUACGGGUGGCAGCAGUGAGGAAUAUUGGUCAAUGGACGAGAGUCUGAACCAGCCAAGUAGCGUGAAGGAUGACUGCCCUAUGGGUUGUAAACUUCUUUUAUAUGGGAAUAAAACGUUCCACGUGUGGGAUUUUGUAUGUACCAUAUGAAUAAGGAUCGGCUAACUCCGUGCCAGCAGCCGCGGUAAUACGGAGGAUCCGAGCGUUAUCCGGAUUUAUUGGGGUUAAAGGGAGCGUAGGUGGAUUGUUAAGUCAGUUGUGAAAGUUUGCGGCUCAACCGUAAAAUUGCAGUUGAAACUGGCAGUCUUGAGUACAGUAGAGGUGGGCGGAAUGCGUGGUGUAGCGGUGAAAUGCUUAGAUAUCACGAAGAACUCCGAUUGCGAAGGCAGUUCACUGGACUGCAACUGACACUGAGGCUCGAAAGUGUGGGUAUCAAACAGGAUUAGAUACCCUUGUAGUC
rnacentral:rRNA from 1 species